rnacentral:rRNA from 1 species
UACGUAGGGGGGAAGCGUUAUCCGGAAUUACGGGGCGUAAAGCGCACGCAGGCGGUUCGCCAAGUUUGGAGUGACAGUUGUCGGCUCAACCGACAAAGGACUUCAAAAACUGGUGAACUUGAGGACGAGAGAGGAACAUGGAACUCCGGGUGUAGUAGUGAAAUGCGUAGAUAUCUGGAAGAACACCAAUGGCGAAGGCAAUGUUCUGGCUCGUUUCUGACGCUCAGGUGCGAAAGCCAGGGGAGCGAACGGG